CCCCUGGCGAGCCACCAUAACGGCCGCGAUCCUGCUCCACUUCCUGUAGCGGAUUCCGCGUAGCUCCAUCAUUCCCUGACAGGCCGCGGUAACCAUCGCAGCUCUGCUCCACUUCCUGUGGCGGAUUCCGCACAGCUCCACUACCCCCUGGCAGGCCACCAUAACGGCCACGAACCUGCUCCACCUCCUGCGACGGAUACCGGGCGAUUCUCCCAUCCGCUGGUAAGUCACGACAACGGAUGCUGCUCCACCCCUCGUAACAGAUUCCACGUGGCGAGCUGUGGUGAUGGCCACGAUUCCGCUCCACUACCUCUCGCAAUAAAUUUCUCCUGACAACGGGUGGCCCACGAUCC
rnacentral:lncRNA from 1 species